rnacentral:rRNA from 1 species
GACGAACGCUGGCGGCGUGCUUAACACAUGCAAGUCGAACGGAAAGGCCCUGCUUUUGUGGGGUGCUCGUGUGGCGAACGGGUGUGUAACACGCGGGUAUCCUGCCCUUGACUUUGGGAUAACUUCAGGAAACUGGGGCUAAUACCGGAUAGGAGCUCCUGCUGCAUGGUGGGGGUUGGAAAGUUUCGGAGGUUGGGGAUCGACUCGCGGCUUAUCAGCUUGUUGGUGGGGUAGUGGCUUACGAAGGGUUUGACGGGUAGCCGGCCUGAGAGGGUGACCGGCGACAAUGGGACUAAGAUACGGCGCAGACGGCUACGGGAGGCAGCAGUGGGGAAUAUUGCGCAGUAGGCGGAAGCGUGAUGCGGCAGCGCCGGGUGCGGGAUGACGGCCUUCGGGUUGUAAACCGCUUUGGCAUGAGACGAAGCGAGAGUGACGGUAAUGGGUAAAGAAGCACCGGCUAACUACGUG